ACCUGGCUGGCUCAGUCAGUAGAACAUGAGAUUCUUGAUCUAGGGGUUGUGAGUUCAAUUCCCAUGUUGGGUG
rnacentral:tRNA from 1 species